rnacentral:rRNA from 1 species
UACGAAGGGGGGCUAGCGUUGCUCGGAAUUACUGGGCGUAAAGGGCGCGUAGGUGGCUUCUUAAGCGUGCGGUGAAAGCCUGGGGCUCAACCCCGGGUCGGCCGUGCGAACUGGGGGGCUGGAGCACUGUAGAGGCAGGCGGAAUUCCGGGUGUAGCCGGUGGAAUGCGUAGAGAUCCGGAAGAACACCGGUGGCGAAGGCGGCCUGCUGGGCAGUUGCUGACACUGAGGCGCGACAGCGUGGGGAGCAAACAGG